GAUGAACGCUGGCGGCGUGCCUAAUACAUGCAAGUCGAGCGAACAGACGAGGAGCUUGCUCCUUUGACGUUAGCGGCGGACGGGUGAGUAACACGUGGGUAACCUACCUAUAAGACUGGGAUAACUUCGGGAAACCGGAGCUAAUACCGGAUAAUAUUUCGAACCGCAUGGUUCGAUAGUGAAAGAUGGCUUUGCUAUCACUUAUAGAUGGACCUGCGCCGUAUUAGCUAGUUGGUAAGGUAACGGCUUACCAAGGCAACGAUACGUAGCCGACCUGAGAGGGUGAUCGGCCACACUGGAACUGAGACACGGUCCAGACUCCUACGGGAGGCAGCAGUAGGGAAUCUUCCGCAAUGGGCGAAAGCCUGACGGAGCAACGCCGCGUGAGUGAUGAAGGUCUUCGGAUCGUAAAACUCUGUUAUUAGGGAAGAACAAACGUGUAAGUAACUGUGCACGUCUUGACGGUACCUAAUCAGAAAGCCACGGCUAACUACGUGCCAGCAGCCGCGGUAAUACGUAGGUGGCAAGCGUUAUCCGGAAUUUAUGGGCGUAAAGCGCGCGUAGGCGGUUUUUUAAGUCUGAUGUGAAAGCCCACGGCUCAACCGUGGAGGGUCAUUGGAAACUGGAAAACUUGAGUGCAGAAGAGGAAAGUGGAAUUCCAUGCGUAGCGGUGAAAUGCGCAGAGAUAUGGAGGAACACCAGUGGCGAGGGCGACUUUCUGGUCUGUAACUGACGCUGAUGUGCGAAAGCGUGGGGAUCAAACAGGAUUAGAUACCCUGGUAGUCCACGCCGUAAACGAUGAGUGCUAAGUGUUAGGGGGUUUCCGCCCCUUAGUGCUGCAGCUAACGCAUUAAGCACUCCGCCUGGGGAGUACGACCGCAAGGUUGAAACUCAAAGGAAUUGACGGGGACCCGCACAAGCGGUGGGGCAUGUGGUUUAAUUCGAAGCAACGCGAAGAACCUUACCAAAUCUUGACAUCCUUUGACCCUUCUAGAGAUAGAAGUUUCCCCUUCGGGGGACAAAGUGACAGGUGGUGCAUGGUUGUCGUCAGCUCGUGUCGUGAGAUGUUGGGUUAAGUCCCGCAACGAGCGCAACCCUUAAGCUUAGUUGCCAUCAUUAAGUUGGGCACUCUAAGUUGACUGCCGGUGACAAACCGGAGGAAGGUGGGGAUGACGUCAAAUCAUCAUGCCCCUUAUGAUUUGGGCUACACACGUGCUACAAUGGACAAUACAAAGGGCAGCGAAACCGCGAGGUCAAGCAAAUCCCAUAAAGUUGUUCUCAGUUCGGAUUGUAGUCUGCAACUCGACUACAUGAAGCUGGAAUCGCUAGUAAUCGUAGAUCAGCAUGCUACGGUGAAUACGUUCCCGGGUCU
rnacentral:rRNA from 1 species